AGUAAAAGAAAGUGGCUAUGGAAACCAAGCAACACUUCUGAUGUCUGACUUUGGCAAAAUGACCGUAAUGCUGCAGAUUUAAGUACCGAAGGAAAAGAAUUAGUAAGAAUCACAGCAGCCAGUGAACAGUCAGCAUAAAUCAGAACCUCUGGCAGAGUUCCCUGGUGUCCUACAACCAUAGUCAACACUGGUGCAGAAAUACUAAAAUAAGAAGCAGGACUGCAGGAGGUCAAAUUGACUGCUUUAUUAUUCACCAAAGCCUACAUCUUUGAGAUACUGUAAUUGAAUAUUGCAGAAUUGAUUGCAGUCUCAUAAGCAGAAUUGUGACUUCAAGUGUAGCAUGAGAGAAGAAAUAGAUGAACACUUGAGCAGAAAAGGUCCCUCUGGAUGCUUCCCUUCCCUCCGAUGCAUCGACUGCACUGCUCAGCUUGGGGCCACCUGCAAACUUGCUGAGGCUGCACUCGAUGCCAUCAUCUGUCAUUGAUGAAGAUGCUGAAGAGCACCGGUCCCAAGACCGACCCCUGAGGGACACCGCGUGUGACCGGCCUCCACAGGUACUUCAGAUUGCCAUGUUUUUUUAAAUAUGAUGGAGGGCUGCUCUGCAACCACAUCAGCCAUCUUCAACCAAAUCUGGCAUUAGUACUACAAAAAAUCUAUCUCGCUAUCCUGAUAACCAUCCUUUUAAAUGUGAGGGGGGCUCUGAUAUGCCUUAACUUUUUCAUCUAACUGAUGUAAUUUGGAUUAACUAGAAAGAUUCUAAAUGCUUAUAGGCUGUUAUUCAAAAUAUAAUAUAUGCUGAAGCAGCCUGAAGAAGCAGCAAUUUGAUAUUGAGUACUGAAGUUUUCACAGUUUACUAGCAAAUUAGUUACUAGCAAAUUACUUACAAUGCUUUUCCGUGUAUUUAAAAUGAACACAAAAUAUUUUAUUCAAGUGAAAAAUUGAUAUUUAAUAAUCUUUUUUACUGCUAAUUUAGGAGGAAUAGAUUAUUAAUAGUCCAAAAUUUUCUUCUGUACACUAAUGAAAGAGAAACUGGAAUACUUCCCAUUCCUGAAGGAAUACUUCUGUCAGGCUGUGUUCUGUUUGAAUUCUAUUAUGCUUGGAAGCCCUUCUUUAAACUUCGUGUUUGACAUGAAUUUAAUUUUGGAAUUGAAAUUGUCUGAAAACACGCAGACAUGUAUACACAUGGGUUCUUUUGUGCAAAGAAAAUAAGAAGGCAGAGACAUUCAGAAGACAUCAAAUUAUUUUUUAGUUUAAUGUGAUCGUUGUCACACUUGAGCUUUACUACACCUCGUACUGAUAUCCUCUAGGUUCUGCCUCAAGGUGGAGCCCUUAUAUUUUCAGUGGCGAUGAAGACAUGAAAGCCUCUUAUUUUCUCCCCUCUUGAAUGCUGAUUCUUAUUUGAAUAGAUUGUAUGGGUUAUGUUGAUAGAGAGAAAUGGCAAGCAGUCUUCCUCCUCCUCUUUUCAAGAUGAAAAGUUCAGCAAAAGCUGAAGUCAGCAAUGUGUCGUGUGGGUGGAUAGGACUAAGAUGCUAACUGAUUUUAAUUCAAUCUAACAUUACCUGUCCUAGUCUGAGGAAGAUGCAUACCUUCCAUUUACAGUAGGUAUCCAGAGAAUUAUAACAGUCUGUGUAAUAGCUGUCAAAAGCAUUUUCUCAUAAGCAGAUUUUGGUGGUUUUUUUUUCUUAGUAAUUGGUAA